GAAGCUGGAAUUGCUAGUAAUGGCAGGUCAGCAUACUGCCGUGAAUACGUUCCCGGGCCCUUGUACACACCGCCCGUCACACCAUGAGAGUUGGGAAUACCCGAAGCCUGUGAGCUAACUUAUAGAGGCAGCAGUCGAAGGUAGAAUCAAUGAUUGGGGUGAAGUCGUAACAAGGUACC
rnacentral:rRNA from 1 species